GAACCUGUUGCAUUGUAGGAGCACUGGCAUGAAGAAAGAGUAACAAAACCUCUGGCAAGAGCGUUAAUAAUGGUAGACUCCAAAUGCAAAAAUAGGGCAGAAUCUGGUUUUAUAAACAAGGUUUUAAAGUUAUUCUUCUGUAUAUGGGUCUCUGUUGCAGGUCUGCCAUUGAUUUUGCUAGGACUAACCUCUGGUAAAGGACAGGUUUAACUGGCCUAGACUUUGAAAAUUCACCUUCCCAGGACACCACAGGAACUGCUUGUUCCAAGGGAGGUGUCUCCUUCACUUUAACUUGCAUCUCAAGUACCACAGUGACACCUGGAAGCAUAGGUGCACUUCCCUGAGUAGCUAAGCCAUUAACAGCAUCCUCUGGAGCCCUUAUGGAUACAUCUGCACUAAUGAUGGCCCAUGGACUAGUGUCUUCUCCAGAACUGAGAACAGCCAACGUGGCACAUCAGGCCUUAACAGAGCUGCACUUCUCCUUUGUCUCUCCUUUAACCAGCACCACAACACCCCUCAGUGCCCAGAGGGGCCUUGUGAUGCCUCCACUGUGCAUUGCCUGGGAAAUUCCCUGCUCCUGCAGGGUGAGCCAUCCUGGGCAUUCAGGCCAUGGCCACUUCACUUACAAGGUGGUGUGCAAAUGUGUGUUGUACAUAGCAAAAAGUUGUAACUUUUCUGUAAAAGUGAGCAGAAAAUAAUAUUUGCAGUAUUAUGUUACUGUACGUAUAUUCCAAGGAGACAUGUUUCAUUUAUUUUUAAAAUUUUAAAUAUUUUAAGAAUUGCAAUUGAUGAUAUGAAAUCAGACAUAUCAGAUCCUCUAUGACCUAGAUAUUUUUCUAUUUCUUCCCUUGUAGUUGAAAUAAAUACUUCAUUUAUUGCCUUCAAAUUAAACUGCUGUCAAGAUACCA